CGGGACGGGUGAGUAACGCGUGGAUAACCUGCCUCACACUGGGGGAUAACAGUUAGAAAUGACUGCUAAUACCGCAUGGGCGCACAGUACCGCAUGGUACGGUGUGAAAAACUCCGGUGGUGUGAGAUGGAUCCGCGUCUGAUUAGCCAGUUGGCGGGGUAACGGCCCACCAAAGCGACGAUCAGUAGCCGACCUGAGAGGGUGACCGGCCACAUUGGGACUGAGACACGGCCCAA
rnacentral:rRNA from 1 species